CAGCAGCCGCGGUAAUACAGAGGGUGCGAGCGUUAAUCGGAUUUACUGGGCGUAAAGCGUGCGUAGGCGGCUUCUUAAGUCGGAUGUGAAAUCCCUGAGCUUAACUUAGGAAUUGCAUUCGAUACUGGGAAGCUAGAGUAUGGGAGAGGAUGGUAGAAUUCCAGGUGUAGCGGUGAAAUGCGUAGAGAUCUGGAGGAAUACCGAUGGCGAAGGCAGCCAUCUGGCCUAAUACUGACGCUGAGGUACGAAAGCAUGGGGAGCAAACAGGAUUAGAUACCCGAUAGUCCCUGUCUCUUAUACA
rnacentral:rRNA from 1 species